CCAUCCAGCGAACAACCGAGAUAAGGCAGAGAAAUUUACGGAAAAGAGAUUUUUGGAACAGAAUUUGUGCGAAAAUCUUGUUGCGUCGCCGAAGGCAAUCAUCAGCAACGUCUUCGCUGUCGGGUUGCUACGCCAUAACGGGAAGAGAACGCCCUUUUCGGUCCGUUGCACGGCCGGGGUCGCUCCCGGAGCCGGGCGACGUGACUCGGCUCGUGGCGGCGCGGCGGCUGACCCCUGCUGUCGCGUCACCGUGACCUGCCGGAGCGGCGGCCCGCGGCGCCGAGCCCCUAGCAACCGCCGCCUAUCUGCCGCGUUCUCCAGUGACGUCACCGCCGCAGCCGCCGGGGGGUCCACGCGCGUUCGUUGAGCAACCGCGCGCUUGUCGCACCGCCGCUAUUUCACGGCAGCCGGUUUCCACUGCCUCCUUCAGGACGGCUUAGCUGCCGAUCGGCCUACAGCACCGGACUACAUUGGUGCUCUCUCCCCCGCACUUGCCCGUGCUACUCCAGCUCUUCGAAGGGGGGAGGGGUGUUACGCUAUCGCCAAGGUAGCCCCUGUGGGCCGGCAACACAUCUAAGACGAUACAGGUUCGAGGUUGCCUAUGCCCAAAGGCGUAAGCAAUGGUAAACAUCAGCUGUUUUGGAAACAGACAUUCCGUGUACUAUUUACUGCACAGGGAGUUCGAGAUGGCCUGCAGAAAGUAUUACUACACCAACAUCUGAUUGGCUGACCAAUACUAUUUAAAGGCUAGAACCAGCACUGAACAUCAGUUCAUGCCAAAUACCGACCUCAGUGAUGUCUCCACGGAAGACUACAUCUUCGCCAUCGGAAUAGGACUUGGAAUUUAAGUGUCUGUGUGUAUUACAACGGAGUCUUAUGGGAAACAUAGAAGUUAUCUUUUGUUGCCUCUAGUAGGAAGUUCUUACUGGCUUUGUGAUUGUGACUUUUCGUUGUUAUUCAGUCAUUUCCACGUAGA